AACAGAAACUUGGUUAUAUAAAGUAGUAUAACAUUUCUUAACACAUCAACACACAGAACACCAGUCCAGAGUGUGGCACAGGCCCACAUGACACGUUGUACCUCAUCGACUGCCCAGCCAAAUCUACUCACCUAACUCCGGUAUCGCUAUGGACUCAAGCAAUACAGGUCGCCUCCUUUUUGAACUUGGAGUUGGAAGCAGAGCCAGAUUAAAGAAGAAAAGCUAACAUAGCAGUACGAGCUGCAACAACAAAUUAUUACACGAAGUAAUUUUUCAGUUGAGUUGAUAAAUAUUAAACCAAACCAAAAAAGAAAGGAUUAACAUUUUCACCAGGAUAAAUUUUUAAAUUGAAAUUUACAAAUAUGAAUUUAAAUUCACGAUCCAAUUCCAAUUUCCCAGCAUUUUGGGCGAAAAAUCCCAAAAUUAUCUAAUUUUUAUUCCCCUACUUGCAAAUAUUUCUCUCAAAAUUUUUGUCAUCUUUCGUAAUUGUUGUUGUUGUGGGUUUUGCUGCCGCCACAAAUUGCUGCUCAGCAAAAUGGGUUGUUUGGGUGGUUUGUUUGGCUCAGCAACUAUCAGUCUCUAAUCCGUACUUUUAGUGUGGAAAUUGUCUUUGUUUUCUUAACUAUCAAACAUCACGCUGUGUUCAGCUGCUUGGUUGUAAAGUCCAAUGGAAAUCAAAAUAAAAUGCAAUAUAUUUUACAAAAAGAUAAGAUGUGCUACGCCACGUAAACGUCUGAUGAUCGAUGCUGCAUUCUGCAGCUGCAGCAGCAGGAAUCAAGGGGACCAAUAAAAUAGUCACAACAAUAACAUAUUCAAAUUAUGAUUUUGUUUUCGUCAGAAAUCUACACGCCAAUUCAUUCUCCAUAUUGUUAUACUUGUUGUCUCUCACACUUUCCACUUUAAUUUGGUUGGUAAGCGGUUAGAUGCGGAAUUUUACAAAUCACUCAAUUAUAAGAACUGAUAUUGUUUGUUCCCUGCUGUACCAGAGGACCACCAAAUGUGUUGUAGAUAACGCCAGUCAAAAGUUCACACUGACACUGAAAUUGUCUUUUCAUCGGAAUCCACAUGUUAACCCCAUCACAUCUUGAGGUAUUGCACAGCAACCUUUUGUGUGAUGCGAAUCGAAUGGUCAUAAUUCAUCAUUCGCAGUGAUAUUUAUUGCAUACUACUACCAGUUUAUGACUUUGUUUGACAGGCGCCAUAAAAUGCAUAUCUAGUUUUUGUUAUUUCAAAGUCGGGAAGCUCGCUGCCGCAUGCAAAGACCUAGAGAAGCUAACAGGCUAUUCAUUCCUUAAUUGAAUUAGAGGUCAAUUAAAUCAAGGUAGAGUGUGUGUGGCAAGAAAAACCUCAGCUUAAUCUUUAGAUAUUCUUAAAGUAACAAAGCAAAUUUUAUUUCUGGUGGGUGGCAUAAAUGUUGAAAACCAAAUGCAUUUUUGAAUACUUUUUUUAAAUACAGUUUUUAUUGACAAUGAUCAUAUUGUUGCUGACGAUAUAUGCAAGAUAGUAAUAUUUCAAAAAUAUUGUUUUUAACAUUAUUUAGUAGCAGAGUAUGAUUUGAUUAAUGGGCUGAAAAAUGCCAAAAGCUAGAGAUAUUUUUGGAAAUUUCUUUUUUAGGUUGAGGUAUUAAUGACCUAAGGAGAAGGCACUGAAAAUUGGAAUCUAGCAAAAUUCCAUGCAUUUAACCAGUCAGGGGGCUCAUCAGGCAUAUUACAUGCUACUUUAGUGGCUAGACGAAGGCCAAUUUUGGUGAGUUUCAUUUUGGUGUAAAUCGUUGGAUAAAUGCAUACGCGAAUUAAAGUGAAACAAGUCAGUCUAUAGUCUGACUGUAGAAAUUUCAGUACUCAACAUUUACAAUGGUAGGUUUUUAUACCCUCCACGUCAUUCCGUUUGUAACUCAUCGAAAUAAUAAUUUUAGACCCAACAAAGUAUAUAUAUUCUUGAUCAGCGUACAAUUCUAAGACUACUUAGCGCUGUCCGUCCGUCAGUUGUAAUCAUGCUAGAGUCAAAACGAAUUAAGAUAGAAAGCUAAAAUUUUGCGCAGAUCAGUCUUUUAUAUAAGAUUAGAUCGAAGAUGAACUAUAUCGGUCCACGAUUUCGUAUGGCCCCCAUAUAACGGUACCCCCCGAUAUUUUGAUGAUUUUAGGCACAUUUUGCAAUGCAAUUGUCUGAAAAUCCACACAAGGAGUUCCUGCUGAGCACUUUACCCCCUGUAAGAGAAUGGUCUAUAUAGAUACACCAUAUCGUAUAGCCUCCAUAUAACGGCACCCCUCGAUAUUCGGUAUUUUGAUGAUUGUGGCCAAAUUUUUCAAUGGAAUUGUCUGAAAUUCUAGACAAGGGGUUCUUUGUGGAAUUGUCUUAAAAUCCAGACAAGAGGUUCCUUGUGAGUACUUUAUAGUCUGCGGAGAUGACAACAGAGCUGAAUGUGCAGAUCGAGGGAAAUAUAAUUCCGACCACAAACUACCCCAAGAUUCUAGGGGUCACAUUCGACAAUAUGUUCAAGUGGUCAGCUAUGCGGUUCCAGUGUGGUUUGCGAAAAUAAGUGCUACGCAGUAGAAGAAUAUCCGGACCCUGAGGACUGCGACAGGGUGCUUCCCUAUAACACCAGUGGACCAUAUACAUAAGAAGGCGAAAGUCCUUCGAGUACGUCAGUAUGACCAUAUGCUUUCGUUGCAGAACGUUCUUGGGUAUUAUCGUAUGAGUCAUCCAAACCAUCAUGUCAGGAAGGAAAUACAUGAUCUAGAGAGGGAGUUCCAUGCUACAAGAAAGAGCCUCUACAUAAAGAAAUCUAUCAGGUAGGUCUGAGUGGCAUUCAUACUGAUGGAAUUACAGACCCCAUCAACAAUUAGAGUAUGACUACCGUGCUCGGAGUCCACCACCCCACAUUCAUUGCAUCCGAAAAACGCGCCCAGACAAACCAGGGUAGUUUUGGCACAAUUUCGUUCUGGAUGGUGCAGUCGUCUCAAUUAGUAUUGGGCACGAAUUGACGAAGAUGUGGGAAACAUCCGCCUGGCGUAUGAUACAGGGCUGAAUAAUACGCUGCACCUCUUUAAUUGACCUAUCCCACUCACUCCAGAAGAUCUAUGGUUACAGCCCGUGGAAGUAACCACAUUUUUUAAUCUGUCUGAGUUAGAAGCGGACUAGCAGAAAUUAAACAAAACAUCUGAAGCUGUUAGAACAACAACUUAUUUUUCGCAUUCUUGUUUCAAGAACAUCCAUUUUGGACUACAAAAAAUGGUAAGCGAGUCUGAGCCUCAAAGCUGUAUUUAUUUUCUUAGGCAACGACGAAUAAAAUCUAAUUAUGAGCUGAAACGUAUAAAAUUCGGGCCUUCCUAAUAGCUGCUCUGUUCCAGUACCUGCAAGAAUCAACUAGUUUUGCAAUUUUCUUCGAUAUCAAAAAGGGAAAAUCGGUUAUUGUAGUAAAAACUUUUACAUUCUUGCAGUUCAGGAACCGUAAAACGAAAAAAAAUAUUUUUUCUAUGAAUUGAUGUUAUAAGAGUGGGGGUUGUCACGAGUUCCUAAGGUUGUAUUUAAAAUUAUUUAUAAAAGUAUGGAAAAUCACUUGAAAGAGCCGUACAAAGUUACAAAAUAAUGUAUCAUCCAAAGAAAACUUGGAGCCUUAUAAACCCACCGACCAAAAUAAAAAAAGUCACUUGGGAGGGUGGAGGCUUUUCCUACGGACGAAAUAUUAACAUUUCCAUAUAAAUAUGCAUUUGAUGUAAACUAAUCCCUUUAAUUUCUAAGAACACUGCGUCGCUAAGCAGACAUCACGUGCGACAAUUGUUGUUGAGAAUGUCGUAGUGAUAAGAAGAUUUCAUCAGAUUAAUUCCAUUGCAUUUUCUUUGGAAUACAUUGAACCCCCCGUUCAAAGGUCUUACACAAACCUUGACUCAAUCGAUUGGUAGUUAGAAAUGGGUUAAGUGCAAUAAUUAUUAAAACACAAAAUUCUU